GGUUGGAUAAGGCGCUCGCGCCGCAUCCAACGUAGGGAGCACAUUGCCUGAUGCGACGCUUAACACGUCUUAUCAGGCA
rnacentral:ncRNA from 1 species